rnacentral:rRNA from 1 species
AGACCCGAAACCCGGUGAUCUAGCCAUGGGCAGGUUGAAGGUUGGGUAACACUAACUGGAGGACCGAACCGACUAAUGUUGAAAAAUUAGCGGAUGACUUGUGGCUGGGGGUGAAAGGCCAAUCAAACCGGGAGAUAGCUGGUUCUCCCCGAAAGCUAUUUAGGUAGCGCCUCGUGAAUUCAUCUCCGGGGGUAGAGCACUGUUUCGGCAAGGGGGUCAUCCCGACUUACCAACCCGAUGCAAACUGCGAAUACCGGAGAAUGUUAUCACGGGAGACACACGGCGGGUGCUAACGUCCGUCGUGAAGAGGGAAACAACCCAGACCGCCAGCUAAGGUCCCAAAGUCAUGGUUAAGUGGGAAACGAUGUGGGAAGGCCCAGACAGCCAGGAUGUUGGCUUAGAAGCAGCCAUCAUUUAAAGAAAGCGUAAUAGCUCACUGGUCGAGUCGGCCUGCGCGGAAGAUGUAACGGGGCUAAACCAUGCACCGAAGCUGCGGCAGCGACACUGUGUGUUGUUGGGU